AGCAGCAUGGCUCAGUGGAAAGAGCACGGACUUGGGAGUCUGAGGUCAUGGAUUCAAAUCCCAGCUCAGCUG
rnacentral:tRNA from 1 species